AAGAAAGAAGCAUAAGUGGUUAGAUGCAGUUGGCUUGAAACCAGCGUACGAGGGUUCGACUCCUUCCUUUCUUG
rnacentral:tRNA from 1 species